UACAGAGGGUGCAAGCGUUUAAUCGGAUUUACUGGGCGUAAAGGGCGCGUAGGUGGUAAAGCAAGUAAGAUGUGAAAGCCCUGGGCUUAACCUGGGAAGUGCAUCUUAAACUGCUUAACUAGAGUAUGGUAGAGGGUAGUGGAAUUUCCGGUGUAGCGGUGAAAUGCGUAGAGAUCGGAAGGAACGCCAGUGGUGAAGACGACUACCUGGACCAAUACUGACACUGAGGCGCGAAAGCGUGGGGAUCAAACAGG
rnacentral:rRNA from 1 species